rnacentral:rRNA from 1 species
UUUUUAAAUGGAAUCUUGUAUGAAUGGUUGAACAAAAGAAAGGCUGUCUUUAAAAUAAUGUUUGAAUUUAACUUUUAAGUGAGAAGGCUUAAAUAUUCUAGAGGGACGAUAAGACCCUAUAAAGCUUUAUAUUGUAAUUAUAUUUAAUUGAAUUUUAUAAAUAAGAAUUUAAUUUAAUUACUAUUAUUGUGUUGGGGAGACAAGAGUAAAAAUUAUAAUAACUGCUAUUAAAAUAAACAAUUAUAGAUGAUUUAUUAAGUAAAUGAUCCUGUAUGUAUAUAGAUUAAAAGAUUAAGUUACUUUAGGGAUAACAGUGUUAUUUUUUUUGAGAGUUCAUAUCGAAAAAGAAGUUUGCAACCUCGAUGUUGAAUUAAAAUGUCUGUAUAAUGUAGAUGUUAUAUGAGAAGGNCUGUUCGACCUUUAAAUUUUUAC